AAGUCGUAACAAGGUCUCCGUUGGUGAACCAGCGGAGGGAUCAUUAUUGAUUUUAUCAUUUAUUUACCCGUGAACCUACACAUGCUUUGCCUUUCGAGGCAACAAUCUCAUUUAUAGUAUUAUACAAACAACUUAGAAACAAACAAAACUUUCAACAACGGAUCUCUUGGCUCUG
rnacentral:misc_RNA from 1 species